GUGGGUCAAGGUAUGAUGAUUAAUUGGAGUUCUAGUUCAUUUACUUUGAGAAAAUUAGAGUGUUUAAAGCAGCCUCUUGGGGCACUGAAUACAUUAGCAUGGGAUAAUAAAAUAGGAUCUUCACAAUAUAUUUUAUUGGUUUAAAUUGCGUAUGAAGAUAAUGAUUAAUAGGGACAGUUGGGGGUAUUCAUAUUGGGUGGUUAGCGGUGAAAUGCUCGGAUCCAUUCAAGAUGAACUAAAGCGAAAGCAUUUACCAAGGAUGUUUUCAUUAAUCAAGAACGAAAGUUAAGGGAUCGAAGACGAUUAGAUACCGUCGUAGUCUUAACUAUAAACUAUGCCGACCAGGGAUAUGAGUUGUUAGGAUUAUAUGAAAGUAUAAUCAAUUUCUUCUUAUGGACCUUGUGAG
rnacentral:rRNA from 1 species